rnacentral:sRNA from 1 species
CCAUUUGACAUAGAAGCCGUGACAAUCUCUGUGUUCCGGGGAACGGGGCCAAAAAGUGGCGGAUGUGUUUCACUUGGGGGGAAGCUGGAAAUGACGCGGGUAUCCUGAGACGAAUUCACAGUCCCUGCGCUCCUAUUCGGUUGUGCAUCUGCUUCCCCAUCUUUGAAUAGGCUUAAUGUUAGCAGUUUGCACAAAACUGGGCUCACGGCCAGGGAUAACUUAACUGGAGGUCAAGUGGCUUGAAGUCACAGCGCUCUUCUUCUUCUUCGUCCUGGCCAUUUCAGCUACUGUUGGGAGUUCAGAGCUUCAAAAAAAAUAAGAAGAAAGGGAAAAGACUUCAAUAUAAGCUUAUGAGAGGGGGCCGGUUUAGCCUUUAGAGUCGUAAUGAGGCAUACUCGUGAGAAUUGAUAUACCCUCCAUGGGAUGUCAGAGAUAUAAAGAGCCCUCAAGGCUCUUGGGAGCCUCCCGCUUCAUGCUUUGUACCGCCUCCUAGCCCAAUCACAAAGGGGGAAUGAGCAAACAUGCGGGGUAUGGUAGGAAAAUGAACUGUUGCAGCUGGGAGCAGUAAACGCGGCGUUGGAGGCCUCGCCCUAACGCUUCUGCUACAUAAUAUGUUCCUCGUUUUUCCAUUAGGAGGCAGAUGCGUGUCCAACCUCGCAGCUCUCUGCCGCGUUGUGCUGGCCCUAUUGGUCAAUGAGCAAAGAGAUGUGUGUUUGGAUCUAUCGCCUCUUGGCUUCGUGGACGAACCCAUCAAAAUAUCAGUGCAAGGUUGCGGCGCGGGAGGAUAAACUCAUUACUCAUUGGAUGCCUCGGAGAAGAAGCAUUCAUUCUGGCCAAUGCCAUAAGGUCGUUUUGGCAAAGCACUUCUAGGAAGGAUUUUCCUAUGAUGGCUGCGCAUGCAGUCAAGUAUCGAUUGUCCUGCCUUCACAGGAAUGAAAUUGCCCUGGUUCAGAGAUUAUGAUCGAGCUCCAUUUCACAGCCGACUGCAAAUGAUAAAGAGUC